rnacentral:rRNA from 1 species
AACGAACGCUGGCGGCAUGCCUAACACAUGCAAGUCGAACGAGACCUUCGGGUCUAUUGGCGCACGGGUGCGUAACGCGUGGGAACCUGCCCUUAGGUUCGGAAUAACUCCCCGAAAGGGGUGCUAAUACCGGAUAAUGUCUUCGGACCAAAGAUUUAUCGCCUUUGGAUGGGCCCGCGUUGGAUUAGCUAGUUGGUAGGGUAAAAGCAUACCAAGGCGACGAUCCAUAGCUGGUCUGAGAGGAUGAUUAGCCACACUGGGACUGAGACACGGCCCAGACUCCUACGGGAGGCAGGAGUGGGGAAUAUUGGACAAUGGGCGAAAGCCUGAUCCAGCAAUGCCGCGUGAGUGAUGAAGGCCUUAGGGUUGUAAAGCUCUUUUACCCGGGAUGAUAAUGACAGUACCGGGAGAAUAAGCUCCGGCUAACUCCGUG